UCCCAUGUCCCAGAGACACGGGCUGGUAGAUCAACCAACCAGUUUAAGUUGCCCCCGCACCCCCGAAUUGUGGUGGUGUUGAUGGGAAAAUGGCAGUAGGGACAUGGGAGAAAAUGAGAACAUAGGAUUGGAUGAUUUAUGGUCAGUGUUCCAAAGAUUCACCAUUGUCCAUUGAAACCAUUGAAACCAACUAAACCAGAAAAAGCUUUGUCUUGGAGAAUAACAUUUUCCACAUUUGUCUUUGAGGAACAACCCCUUAUUAAAGAGAGACCUUUGAUACCUAUUCUCCCACAAAAGGAAACAGCCUCUGCACAUCCACUCUAUCCAUGCCUUU